UUAGAGUUUGAUCCUGGCUCAGGAUGAACGCUGGCGGUAUGCUUAACACAUGCAAGUCGAACGGUGUCUUCGGACAUAGUGGCGGACGGGUGAGUAACGCGUGAGAAUCUAGCUUCAGGUCUGGGACAACCACUGGAAACGGUGGCUAAUACCGGAUGUGCCGGAAGGUGAAAGGCUUGCUGCCUGAAGAUGAGCUCGCGUCCGAUUAGCUAGUAGGUGGGGUAAGAGCCUACCUAGGCGACGAUCGGUAGCUGGUCUGAGAGGAUGACCAGCCACACUGGGACUGAGACACGGCCCAGACUCCUACGGGAGGCAGCAGUGGGGAAUUUUCCGCAAUGGGCGAAAGCCUGACGGAGCAAUACCGCGUGAGGGAGGAAGGCUCUUGGGUUGUAAACCUCUUUUCUCAGGGAAGAACACAAUGACGGUACCUGAGGAAUCAGCAUCGGCUAACUCCGUGCCAGCAGCCGCGGUAAUACGGAGGAUGCAAGCGUUAUCCGGAAUGAUUGGGCGUAAAGCGUCCGCAGGUGGCUGUGUAAGUCUGCUGUCAAAGAGCAAAGCUCAACUUUGUAAAGGCAGUGGAAACUACACGGCUAGAGUGCGUUCGGGGCAGAGGGAAUUCCUGGUGUAGCGGUGAAAUGCGUAGAGAUCAGGAAGAACACCGGUGGCGAAGGCGCUCUGCUAGGCCGCAACUGACACUGAGGGACGAAAGCUAGGGGAGCGAAUGGGAUUAGAUACCCCAGUAGUCCUAGCUGUAAACGAUG
rnacentral:rRNA from 1 species